GGGGAGGGUAGGAACAAGAUGGAAGUUGGUAUACUUAAGUAUUAUUUUAAUUCAUUUGUCAUCAUCCAGAAAAGGUGGUGUUUGGGCAAUUUUGAAAGUGUUCUAAUAGCUCUCUUUAUUCCUUUUCAUAGAAAUUAACAAGUAAUCAUGAAAGCUGUAUUGUAGGAGCCCGCAAUGAAGCCUACUUCCUUUACACCUGUGUUGGUUUGAUGGGGCAGCUUUAAGUUGGAAGCUCUAAAUAAAGCUGCCAUACUUCACAUCUAGUAAGUUUCCAAAGCAUUCUCCUCCCCCUCCCCCUCCCCCUCCCCCUCCUCCUCCGUGCCCUCUUUCAUUCUCCCUGGCUCUGUGUGUGUGUGUGUGUGUGUGUGUGUGUGUGUGUGUGUGUGUGUGUGUCAGUCUCACACCUAGCCAGAGUCAAAGGAUUCUUAAUAAGAAGCAAUCAAAAGUAAUCCUCUCUGCUGGUCUUACAUAAGAACCACACAGCAGCCGGUCUGGUCUCCUGAGCCAUCCCUGUCACAUUCUCCUGUCUGCUGAAGACAGGAACAUCACCGAGAGUUGCUGGGAGAAGAAUGACUCACAGGUGAUACCCGCCACACACGUUAUCCUCAAGGUUGGAAAUAACCACCAAUAAAGGAGCCAGUCAAGAGAGUCCAAGGUAAACUAGAAAGCAAGUGGCCAGUAAAUCCGAAGACCAGAAGCUUCCAAGGUGGGGGAGGCUCAUGAUCCAGAGCCCCAAACAAUUACCUGACUUGCAGGCAAGCAACCAUUGAGAUUCAGGAUGAAGUCAGGAAUGGACAUGCCACGACGACAGCCCAUAGGGAUGGACAUGCCACGACGACAGCCCAUAGGAAUGGACAUGCCAUGAUGAAACCCCUUCACCUUGCUGAUCUCUAACUCAAAGCCACUCUGCUCCAGGUGAAUUCUCUGCCUUCACCUCUGGAUAAGGAUUCCACACUUGCAUCUUUAAGCUAGUUCGUGGGCAUCUCCACGGAAGCCAUCCACAGGCAUCUUACAGACACAAGAUCAG
rnacentral:lncRNA from 1 species